CCUACGGGAGGCAGCAGUGAGGAAUAUUGGUCAAUGGGCUUACGCCUGAACCAGCCAAGUCGCGUGAGGGAAGACUGCCCUAUGUGUUGUAAACCUCUUUUGUCAGGGAGCAAUUGGCGCUACGUGUAGCGUUAUCGAGAGUACCUGACUAAGAAGCUCCGGCUAAAUACGUGCCAGCAGCCGCGGUAAUACGUAUGGAGCAAGCGUUAUCCGGAUUUACUGGGUGUAAAGGGAGCGUAGGCGGCCCUGUAAGUCUGAUGUGAAAAUUUGGGGCUCAACCCCAAACGUGCAUUGGAAACUGCAGGGCUUGAGUGCCGGAGAGGCAGGCGGAAUUCCUAGUGUAGCGGUGAAAUGCGUAGAUAUUAGGAGGAACACCAGUGGCGAAGGCGGCCUGCUGGACGGUAACUGACGCUGAGGCUCGAAAGCGUGGGGAGCAAACAGGAUUAGAUACCCUUGUAGUC
rnacentral:rRNA from 1 species